GAAGAAAGAAAGAGAAAGAAAGAAAGAAAGAAAGAAAGAAAGAAAGAAAGAAAGAAAGAAAGAAAGAAAGAAAGAAAGAAAGAAGAAAGAAAGAAAGAAAGAAAGAAAGAAAGAAAGAAAGAAAGAAAGAAAGAAAGAAAGAAAGAAAGAAAGAAAGAAAAAAGAAAGAAAGAAAGAAAGAGAGAGAGAGAAAGAAAGAAAGAAAGAAAGAAAGAAAGAAAGAAAGAAAGAAAGAAAGAAAGAAAGAAAGAAAGAAAGAAAGAAAGAAAGAAAGAAAGAAAGAAAGAAAGAAAGAAAGAAAGAAAGAAAGAGAAAGAGAAAAUAAAAAAGAAAGAAAGAAAGAAAGAAAGAAAGAAAGAAAGAAAGAAAGAAAGAAAGAAAGAAAGAAAGAAAGAGAGAGAGAAAGAAAGGAAGGAAGGAAGGAAGGAAAGAAAGAAAGAAAGAAAGAAA